rnacentral:rRNA from 1 species
AGUGAACGCUGGCGGUAGGCCUAACACAUGCAAGUCGAACGGCAGCACAGUAAGAGCUUGCUCUUACGGGUGGCGAGUGGCGGACGGGUGAGGAAUACAUCGGAAUCUACUUUUUCGUGGGGGAUAACGUAGGGAAACUUACGCUAAUACCGCAUACGACCUACGGGUGAAAGCAGGGGGUCUUCGGACCUUGCGCGAUUGAAUGAGCCGAUGUCGGAUUAGCUAGUUGGCGGGGUAAAGGCCCACCAAGGCGACGAUCCGUAGCUGGUCUGAGAGGAUGAUCAGCCACACUGGAACUGAGACACGGUCCAGACUCCUACGGGAGGCAGAAGUGGGGAAUAUUGGACAAUGGGCGCAAGCCUGAUCCAGCCAUACCGCGGGGGUGAAGAAGGCCUUCGGGUUGUAAAGCCCUUUUGUUGGGAAAGAAAAGCAGCAGGUUAAUACCCCGCUGUUCUGACGGUACCCAAAGAAUAAGCACCGGCGAACUUCGG